UACGUAGGUGGCAAGCGUUAUCCGGAUUUACUGGGUGUAAAGGGCGUGUAGGCGGGAGUGCAAGUCAGAUGUGAGAACUAUGGGCUCAACCCAUAGCCUGCAUUUGAAACUGUACUUCUUGAGUGCUGGAGAGGCAAUCGGAAUUCCGUGUGUAGCGGUGAAAUGCGUAGAUAUACGGAGGAACACCAGUGGCGAAGGCGGAUUGCUGGACAGUAACUGACGCUGAGGCGCGAAAGCGUGGGGAGCAAACAGG
rnacentral:rRNA from 1 species